rnacentral:tRNA from 1 species
GAUAGUGUGCUUGACAAAAAGGCCGUCUUGAUAGGGCGGAACAUGUGAGCUAAUUCUCACCACUAUCA